rnacentral:rRNA from 1 species
UACGGAGGGUGCGAGCGUUGUCCGGAAUCAUUGGGCGUAAAGGGCGCGUAGGUGGCGGGACAAGCGUGCGGUGAAAGCUCGGGGCUCAACCCCGAGUCGGCCGUGCGAACUGUUUUGCUUGAGCACUGUAGAGGCAGGCGGAAUUCCGGGUGUAGCGGUGGAAUGCGUAGAGAUCCGGAAGAACACCGGUGGCGAAGGCGGCCUGCUGGUCAGUAGCUGACACUGAGGCGCGACAGCGUGGGGAGCAAACAGG